CGGUAAUUGUUACGAGACG
rnacentral:rRNA from 1 species